rnacentral:rRNA from 1 species
UUCCGUUGAAUGACGUGCUUGCACUGAUUUCAACAAUGAAGCGAGUGGCGAACUGGUGAGUAACACGUGGGGAAUCUGCCCAGAAGCAGGGGAUAACACUUGGAAACAGGUGCUAAUACCGUAUAACAACAAAAUCCGCAUGGAUUUUGUUUGAAAGGUGGCUUCGGCUAUCACUUCUGGAUGAUCCCGCGGCGUAUUAGUUAGUUGGUGAGGUAAAGGCCCACCAAGACGAUGAUACGUAGCCGACCUGAGAGGGUAAUCGGCCACAUUGGGACUGAGACACGGCCCAAACUCCUACGGGAGGCAGCAGUAGGGAAUCUUCCACAAUGGACGAAAGUCUGAUGGAGCAAUGCCGCGUGAGUGAAGAAGGGUUUCGGCUCGUAAAACUCUGUUGUUAAAGAAGAACACCUUUGAGAGUAACUGUUCAAGGGUUGACGGUAUUUAACCAGAAAGCCACGGCUAACUACGUGCCAGCAGCCGCGGUAAUACGUAGGUGGCAAGCGUUGUCCGGAUUUAUUGGGCGUAAAGCGAGCGCAGGCGGUUUUUUAAGUCUGAUGUGAAAGCCUUCGGCUUAACCGGAGAAGUGCAUCGGAAACUGGGAGACUUGAGUGCAGAAGAGGACAGUGGAACUCCAUGUGUAGCGGUGGAAUGCGUAGAUAUAUGGAAGAACACCAGUGGCGAAGGCGGCUGUCUAGUCUGUAACUGACGCUGAGGCUCGAAAGCAUGGGUAGCGAACAGGAUUAGAUACCCUGGUAGUCCAUGCCGUAAACGAUGAGUGCUAAGUGUUGGAGGGUUUCCGCCCUUCAGUGCUGCAGCUAACGCAUUAAGCACUCCGCCUGGGGAGUACGACCGCAAGGUUGAAACUCAAAGGAAUUGACGGGGGCCCGCACAAGCGGUGGAGCAUGUGGUUUAAUUCGAAGCUACGCGAAGAACCUUACCAGGUCUUGACAUCUUCUGCCAAUCUUAGAGAUAAGACGUUCCCUUCGGGGACAGAAUGACAGGUGGUGCAUGGUUGUCGUCAGCUCGUGUCGUGAGAUGUUGGGUUAAGUCCCGCAACGAGCGCAACCCUUAUUAUCAGUUGCCAGCAUUCAGUUGGGCACUCUGGUGAGACUGCCGGUGACAAACCGGAGGAAGGUGGGGAUGACGUCAAAUCAUCAUGCCCCUUAUGACCUGGGCUACACACGUGCUACAAUGGACGGUACAACGAGU